AGUAUAUGCAAAACAAGACGUCAAACUUAACAAAUUUCCUUAUUAGAAAGUUGCUCUAAAGUUUUAUAUGGAAAAAAAAAAAAAUACCCUGUGAUUCUAGAAAUCUCCCACACCAAGCUAAAUUUGAAUUCAAUUGUAGUAAACCUCACCAACCCAAAAGUCAAAGAAUGGGAUAGCCAAAUGCAGUUUGUGGAGAAUAGCUAGUGAAGGUGAUUAUGGACAAAACUUAUUGAAAGGUAAGUGUGUGUUGUCCAUCACUUUAUGAAUUUUUUUUGGCAUUAAUCUUUUAUUUACCAUCUCCUUUUUCAUUUUAACAUCUGCAGAAGCAAGGCCACAAGCAGAUAACAUUCAAAUUUAUUGAAGCACAUUCAAUGUCAAGUGUAGGAAACAAAGAUUCUCUCUGCAUCAAUGCUAAAAUAACUAUAAAAUGGUAGGCCAUUGAGGCAAUAUAAUGGGGCAUUAACAAAAGAAAAGAAAACAUCUUGACCUUUUCUCUAUGACCAUAAACUGAACCUCUGUAUUUCACUAUCUUAACCACAAAGCAAACGAAAAAACAACCAUUAGCAAAAGGUUUCCCUAUAAGAAAUUGAAUAACAAUAACCCAAGAUGUGACUUCAAUAGUAAAUAGGAUCUGAAUAUCACUAAAAAUUGUAGAAUAUUACAGCUCCAGACAACGGAAAUAAUAGAUUUUCAUUGGAAAGUAGUUGUUCUAAGAUAUCAAGAAUAGAAAAGGAAGGAGAAAUAAAGAAAACAAAUGAACAAGUGAUGCAUUGCUGUAUCAUUGACAGCAAUAACCAUGUUAAUUGUUAGGUGAGUGGGAGUUCAUCCCACAUAAACUCACCAGUCACAUGGUUUAUGUGAUGUUAAGUUCAGCUGACUAAUGCUAUUUUAUAACAAUAUAAUGUUAUAAGCCCAGACUAUUCACGGGAAACUUUAAUGCUCCAUUUGCUUCAUGGUAAAUGGAAAGAAAUAAAGCAAUCCUCUAUGAUUUCAGAUCGCUAUUCCAUUUACUUCAUGGUCAUGUUAUAAGGUUGCAACUCUAAUAUCUCCUAAAAGUAAAUGAAAAGCAUAGAUGUGACAAAAAAAAUC